rnacentral:rRNA from 1 species
CAGUCGCCGCGGGAAUACGAAGGGUGCAAGCGUUAAUCGGAAUUACUGGGCGUAAAGCGUGCGUAGGCGGUGAGUUAAGUCUGCUGUGAAAUCCCCGGGCUCAACCUGGGAAUGGCAGUGGAUACUGGCUCGCUAGAGUGUGUCAGAGGAUGGUGGAAUUCCCGGUGUAGCGGUGAAGUGCGUAGAGGUCGGGAGGAACAUCAGUGGCGAAGGCGGCCAUCUGGGACAACACUGACGCUGAGGCACGAAAGCGUGGGGAGCAAACAGGAUUAGAUACCCGUGUAGUCCCUGUCUCUUAUAA